UUGCAAAUGGGGAGCAGCUUGGGGAGGGAGGGGAGGGGAGGGGAGCCAGUGGGGGGAGAAGGGGAGAGGGAGGAAGAGAAUGAAUGCAUGAAAACACACAGACUGAUAGACAGACAGACCGAGACAGACACACAGUUCCCGCUGCCCCCUUCUUUCCCGCCUUCUCUCCGUUCAGUAUCUAAAGGACAGACGGACGGAAGGUCUUGGCGGGCUGACGGACUGACCGGCCGCCCGCCGUCCCGGCUCUGCAGUCUGCUCCCUCUUGCUCCAGCCUCGGCCGCUGUCGCGCUCCAAGGAGUCUUGCUGCCGCGGUCGCUGCCUCCCCCGCCGCGGUUGUCCUCCGGGCUGUCGACUGAGCUGGUUUGGCUGGCUCGCCCACCGCUGGAUCGGAGCGCGCGCCCAGACCCUGCAGCUUUCACUCGCAGCUCUGCGCAGUAACCCCGGCUGAUGGAUCAUUAGACUCCCUGGCAUGAGUUUCCCAGUCAUCCGGACCUUGCCAAUAGAGCAGCAGAGGGAUGCGCGUGGAUAAGUGGGGGAAGAGAAGUGCUUGAGUGUGUGGACGUGAUCAUGCGUGGGAUGGGGAGAGCCCCCUCCCCCCUCCCCUCUCUCGCUUCCCAACCGUGUGGAUCAAAAAUAUCAAAGGAGACUUCACUUGUCUCCCCUUGACAGGUCUGAUCAGUUAACUCAGGAACACUUAUCAGACUUUGGAAUCAGAAAUCCUUGCUGAUCUAUUGUGACCAUACCAGAUGCAAUCCACCCACCAGUAGAUCCCAAUCUACCUUCUGCCUACCCUACUUUACGUCAUCUUAAGAACCUUUAUAGGGUGAGUAGGGACAAAGAAACAAACGCAUACAGUGGCAUAAGGUCCAGAGAAGAGGAUAUUGACAGUAAGGAAAUAAUGAUCUUUGAGACCAUCAAAGUGUAUUGGGUGAAUUUUCCCACUCACCCCAACCUGUUAUUCCUGGUCACCUCUUAUUGAACCCAAGAACAGUUGUUCAUAGAUGACAUACCAGUAUGGACUGAUUUCAGUGUAUAAGUGUCUGGGAGCUAAUAACUGGCACAAGCAAGGUCAGGUACUUGCCAACGUCCAGACUAGUUUAGGCACUCAUGAGGCUGUACCAGGUUGGUAAGCUGUCUCCAACUUGACCCACUCACCACAAAGUUGUUCUCUACAAUGGUCCAGGGCACUUGGAGUGUGUGUUUUCACUUCAAACAGGGCACAGACCAGGUUAAAAGCAUGCUUUAUUUGCAACCUGCUCAAGUUCUGCACAAAGUAUGUGCUUUGUUUGAUUACCCUGCUCAGUACCCAGCAAAUUUGGUUGGUGGUAGCCUUGCCAGUAAACCACUACUGGGCUAAGGAAAGUUGUUUACAAGAGACAGAGCAGGGUGAGGUUUGGGGGACCCCAGUAGGAUCCUGAACAGGAAGCCACAAGAAGUCUGGAGCCAACCCUGUCCGGAGUCACAUCAGGAAAUGUGCAAAAUAGAUGUUGGGCAAUUUUUUUUUAAUGAGACAGAGAGAAGGGGAGGGAGGGAGGCUUCUUGGAAAGAUCUUGCACACAGGGUUGUGUAGAUGAGGAAAAAUGCUAUGGAAAUGUUUUGUAAAUUGUGUAGAUAUCAAUAUAGCUGAAAUUGGGUGACCCAUCCACCUGUGAGCUUCAGAAAAUGUAUUGGAGAUAUUUUUUUGUUUAAAAAAACAAUGUAUCUGAGAUUUUUUUCUCCUGUUGGCAAAUUGUGCAUAGUAAGGUUGAUUAUGCACCUGAAAACGCAAUGUGAAAUGUAUGUGUGAAAAGUGAAAGCUAUGUGCUAAGUUUAAUAUGUACAAUGCCUGUAUCAUGGUUGCUCUUACUACGGGAAACAUAAAGGAGGAGGAGAGGGUACUGUGACUGGAAAGCAGCAUAUGUAUGUUUGUGAUUACAAUAAAUGCUAUUUUAACAUGG